AUUGAACGCUGGCGGCAGGCCUAACACAUGCAAGUCGAACGAGUGGCGGACGGGUGAGUAAUGUCUGGGAAACUGCCUGAUGGAGGGGGAUAACUACUGGAAACGGUAGCUAAUACCGCAUACCAUCGGAUUUGCCCAGAUGGGAUUAGCUAGUUGGUGGGGUAAAGGCUCACCUAGGCGACGAUCCCUAGCUGGUCUGAGAGGAUGACCAGCACAGCGGGUGCUGGGAGACGGACCAGACUCCGACGGGAGGCAGCAGUGGGGAAUAUGGCACAAUGGGCGCUAGCCUGAUGCAGCCAUGCCGCGUGUAUGAAGAAGGCCUUCGGGUUGUAAAGUACUUUCAGCGGGGAGGCUUUACCCGCAGAAGAAGCACCGGCUAACUCCGUGCCAGCCGCCGCGGUAAUAC
rnacentral:rRNA from 1 species